rnacentral:tRNA from 1 species
GGCUGGAUAGCUCAGUUGGUAGAGUACCGGAACGGUAAUCCUGAGGUCGCGGAUUCAAACCCCGCUCCAGUCA